GACGAACGCUGGCGGCGUGCUUAACACAUGCAAGUCGAACGGAAAGGCCCUGCUUUUGUGGGGUGCUCGAGUGGCGAACGGGUGAGUAACACGUGAGUAACCUGCCCUUGACUUUGGGAUAACUUCAGGAAACUGGGGCUAAUACCGGAUAGGAGCUCCUGCUGCAUGGUGGGGGUUGGAAAGUUUCGGCGGUUGGGGAUGGACUCGCGGCUUAUCAGCUUGUUGGUGGGGUAGUGGCUUACCAAGGCUUUGACGGGUAGCCGGCCUGAGAGGGUGACCGGCCACAUUGGGACUGAGAUACGGCCCAGACUCAUACGGGAGGGAGCAGUGGGGAAUAUUGCACAAUGGGCGGAAGCCUGAUGCAGCAACGCCGCGUGCGGGAUGACGGCCUUCGGGUUGUAAACCGCUUUCGCCUGUGACGAAGCGUGAGUGACGGUAAUGGGUAAAGAAGCACCGGCUAACUACGUG
rnacentral:rRNA from 1 species